rnacentral:rRNA from 1 species
UACGUAGGGUGCGAGCGUUGUCCGGAAUUACUGGGCGUAAAGAGCUCGUAGGUGGUUUGUCGCGUUGUCCGUGAAAACUCACAGCUUAACUGUGGGCGUGCGGGCGAUACGGGCAGACUGGAGUACUGCAGGGGAGACUGGAAUUCCUGGUGUAGCGGUGGAAUGCGCAGAUAUCAGGAAGAACACCCGUGGCGAAGGCGGCUCUCUGGGACGUGACUGACGCUGAGACGCGAAAGCGUGGGGAGCGAACAGG